rnacentral:rRNA from 1 species
CCGAAGGACCUUCAAACUCCAGUCAGUAAACGCAGACGUCUGAUAAACAAGUCAAUAAACUAAAACUUUCAACAACGGAUCUCUUGGUUCUGGCAUCGAUGAAGAACGCAGCGAAAUGCGAUAAGUAAUGUGAAUUGCAGAAUUCAGUGAAUCAUCGAAUCUUUGAACGCACAUUGCGCCCCUUGGUAUUCCGAGGGGCAUGCCUGUUCGAGCGUCAUUACAACCCUACAAGCUCUGCUUGGUAUUGGGCUCCGUCCUCACUGCGGACGCGCCUCGAAGACCUCGGCGGUGGCUGUUCGGCCCUCAAGCGUAGUAGAAUACACCUCGCUUUGGACCGAUCGGCGUCGCCCGCCGGACGAACCUUCUGAACUUUUCUCAAGGUGACCUCGGAU